rnacentral:tRNA from 1 species
GGGAGCUUAGCUCAGCUGGUUCAGAGCAUCUGCCUUACAAGCAGAGGGUCGACGGUUCGAAUCCGCCAGCUCCCA